rnacentral:rRNA from 1 species
GCUUGCUCUCAGAAGUUNGCGGCGGACGGGUGAGUAACACGUGGGUAACCUGCCCAUAAGACUGGGAUAACUCCGGGAAACCGGGGCUAAUACCGGAUAACAUUUUGAACUGCAUGGUUCGAAAUUGAAAGGCGGCUUCGGCUGUCACUUAUGGAUGGACCCGCGUCGCAUUAGCUAGUUGGUGAGGUAACGGCUCACCAAGGCAACGAUGCGUAGCCGACCUGAGAGGGUGAUCGGCCACACUGGGACUGAGACACGGCCCAGACUCCUACGGGAGGCAGCAGUAGGGAAUCUUCCGCAAUGGACGAAAGUCUGACGGAGCAACGCCGCGUGAGUGAUGAAGGCUUUCGGGUCGUAAAACUCUGUUGUUAGGGAAGAACAAGUGCUAGUUGAAUAAGCUGGCACCUUGACGGUACCUAACCAGAAAGCCACGGCUAACUACGUGCCAGCAGCCGCGGUAAUACGUAGGUGGCAAGCGUUAUCCGGAAUUAUUGGGCGUAAAGCGCGCGCAGGUGGUUUCUUAAGUCUGAUGUGAAAGCCCACGGCUCAACCGUGGAGGGUCAUUGGAAACUGGGAGACUUGAGUGCAGAAGAGGAAAGUGGAAUUCCAUGUGUAGCGGUGAAAUGCGUAGAGAUAUGGAGGAACACCAGUGGCGAAGGCGACUUUCUGGUCUGUAACUGACACUGAGGCGCGAAAGCGUGGGGAGCAAACAGGAUAGAUACCCUGGUAGUCCCGCCGUAACGAUGAGUGCU